rnacentral:rRNA from 2 species
GACGAACGCUGGCGGCGUGCUUAACACAUGCAAGUCGAACGGUGACCUUGGUGCUUGCACCAGGCGAUCAGUGGCGAACGGGUGAGUAACACGUGAGUAACCUGCCCCCGACUCUGGGAUAACCCCGGGAAAUCGGAGCUAAUACCGGAUACGAGACGCACAGGCAUCUGUGAGUCUGGAAAGAAAUUCGGUCGGGGAUGGACUCGCGGCCUAUCAGCUAGUUGGUGAGGUAACGGCCCACCAAGGCGACGACGGGUAGCCGGCCUGAGAGGGCGACCGGCCACACUGGGACUGAGACACGGCCCAGACUCCUACGGGAGGCAGCAGUGGGGAAUAUUGCACAAUGGGCGAAAGCCUGAUGCAGCGACGCCGCGUGGGGGAUGAAGGCCUUCGGGUUGUAAACCCCUUUCAGCAGGGAAGAAGCGAAAGUGACGGUACCUGCAGAAGAAGCGCCGGCUAACUACGUGCCAGCAGCCGCGGUAAUACGUAGGGCGCAAGCGUUGUCCGGAAUUAUUGGGCGUAAAGAGCUCGUAGGUGGUUUGUCGCGUCUGCUGUGAAAACCCGAGGCUCAACCUCGGGCCUGCAGUGGGUACGGGCAGACUAGAGUGCGGUAGGGGAGACUGGAAUUCCUGGUGUAGCGGUGGAAUGCGCAGAUAUCAGGAGGAACACCGAUGGCGAAGGCAGGUCUCUGGGCCGCAACUGACACUGAGGAGCGAAAGCAUGGGGAGCGAACAGGAUUAGAUACCCUGGUAGUCCAUGCCGUAAACGUUGGGCACUAGGUGUGGGGCUCAUUCCACGAGUUCCGUGCCGCAGCUAACGCAUUAAGUGCCCCGCCUGGGGAGUACGGCCGCAAGGCUAAAACUCAAAGGAAUUGACGGGGGCCCGCACAAGCGGCGGAGCAUGCGGAUUAAUUCGAUGCAACGCGAAGAACCUUACCAAGGCUUGACAUAUGCCGAAAACUCAUAGAGAUAUGAGGUCCGCAAGGGCGGUAUACAGGUGGUGCAUGGUUGUCGUCAGCUCGUGUCGUGAGAUGUUGGGUUAAGUCCCGCAACGAGCGCAACCCUCGUCCUAUGUUGCCAGCACAUCAUGGUGGGGACUCAUAGGAGACUGCCGGGGUCAACUCGGAGGAAGGUGGGGAUGACGUCAAAUCAUCAUGCCCCUUAUGUCUUGGGCUUCACGCAUGCUACAAUGGCCGGUACAAAGGGCUGCGAUACCGCAAGGUGGAGCGAAUCCCAAAAAGCCGGUCUCAGUUCGGAUUGGGGUCUGCAACUCGACCCCAUGAAGUCGGAGUCGCUAGUAAUCGCAGAUCAGCAACGCUGCGGUGAAUACGUUCCCGGGCCUUGUACACACCGCCCGUCAAGUCACGAAAGUCGGUAACACCCGAAGCCGGUGGCCCAACCCUUGGGAGGGAGCCGUCGAAGGUGGGACCAGCGAUUGGGACU